rnacentral:rRNA from 1 species
UACAGAGGGUGCGAGCGUUGUUCGGAAUUAUUGGGCGUAAAGCGCUUGUAGGCGGCUUGUUAAGUCGCGUGUGAAAUCUCCCGGCUCAACCGGGAAAGUGCGCGCGAAACUGGCGAGCUUGAGUGCUGGAGAGGGUGGCGGAAUUCCCGGUGUAGAGGUGAAAUUCGUAGAUAUCGGGAGGAACACCAGAGGCGAAGGCGGCCACCUGGACAGACACUGACGCUGAGGCGCGAAAGCUAGGGGAGCAAACGGG